CACUGAGCAAGGGCAGGGAUCGAACCCGAAACCUCAUGGUUCCUAGUCGGAUUUGUUAACCACUGCGCCACAAUGGGAACUCCUAAAAUAUUUUUUAAAAGGAAGAAAAACAAAUCCCUUUCCUUAAGGAUCGUUCAAACCAAGUUGGGGACCCAGUAUACUCAUGGCAAAAUAAGUAGCAAGGUAAGAAGCAAAUGCUACCCACCAGCUGAAGGUAGAGAGCAAAGAGAAGUUCAAAGGAAGGAAGGGGUAAGUUUUAGCUGGAAUCUGUUGAGAUGCUUCCUGCCAACAUCCAAGAUUUGAAUUGUCAACACAAGCCCAGCUCAAACCUGAAAAUGCACAAAGGAGCAUCAGGGUCAACGGCUGGCAGAGAUGCAGUUGUGGCCAAACUAAAAUACUGCAGGGCAGAUGUAUCUGUGUGGGCCAGGGCAAAGCAUUCACACUUAGAUAUUGUGAGUGGAAACGAAAUGCAGUCCAGUUUGGGCAAGCCUGGAACGUCGGUCUAAGAAGAUCAAAGUCAUCCUAUGAUCGCUGGGGAAGCACUGAACUUUGCUCAACUCUGGAGCAAAAUACACAAAGUAGUGGACUUGGAAGAUGAAGAAGCAGAGAAAUGUGAAGGGAGGGGUACAAAGAGAAGUAAUGGAACAGAGACCAGAGUUUUCACCUACGCAGUGGACUAAGUCAGUGAGCUAUCUUCUACUCAGGUUUGAUACACUGGGAUUGAAAUGCGUGUGCCUCACACAGUAUAUAAAACACAUGCUUCCUGUACUGAUGAAUGGGAAAAAGAAUGACAGUGAUCAUGCAAGGCUUUUUGGGAUCACACAAAACCGGGGGAAGUAGGCUAUGGCAGGACCUUGGCCAGGAAGAGGGCAAGCCUUUAGCAAGGUCAAAUCUGUGGUCACUAAAAGGAAGGGCUCCAUGGCCAAGAGAAGGAUUAUAAAUUAAGAGAAACCAUAAAAAAAGACAACCCACAGAAUGUGAGAAAAUAUUUGCAAACGAAGCAACCAACAUGGAAUUAAACUCCAAAAAUAUAUAAACCUCUUAAGCAGCUCUAUAUACAAAAAAAAAAAAAUUAAAAAAACAGCAACCCAAUCAAAAAAUGGGCAGAAAAUCCAAUAGACAUUUCUCCAAAGACAACAGAUGGCCAAGAAGCACAUGAAAAGAUGCUUGACAUCACUAAUUAUUACAGAAAUACAAUCAAAACUACAAUGAGAUUUCGCCUCACGCUGGUCAGAAUGACCAUCAUCAAUAAGUCUACAAACAAUAAGUGCUGGAGAGGAUACAGAGAAGAAGGAACUCUUGUACACUGUUGGUCAAAUUUUCAAACUGGUACAACUAUCAGAGAGAACAAUAUGGGGGUUCCUUAAAAAACUAAAUAUGGGAUUUUUAUAUCUACGUUCAUCAAUGAUAUUGGCCUGUAAUUUUCUCUUUUUGUGGUAUCCUUGUCUGGUUUUGGUACCAGGGUGAUGGUGGCCUUACAGAAUAAGCCUGGGAAUGGGCAGAAGACCUAUACAGACGUUUCUCCAAAGAAGACAUACAGAUGACCAACAAGCACAUGAAAAAAUGCUCAACAUCACUAGUUAUUAGAGACAUGCAAGUCAAACAUACAAUGCGGCAUACCUCACACUGGUAAGAAUGACCGUCAUUAACAAGUCAACAAAAAACAAAGGCUGAAGAGGGUGUGGAGGCAAGGGAACCCUCUUUCACUGGUAGGAAUGUAAAUUGGUACAACCACUAUGGAGGACAGUAUGGAAGUUCCUCAGAAAACUAAAUAUAGAACUGCCAUGGAUCCAGCAAUCUCACUCCUGGGCAUAUGUCCAGACAAAAUUUUCAUUUAAAAAGAUACACACACCUCUAUGUUCAUUGCAGCACUAUUCACAAGAGCCAAGACAUGGAAACCAACAAAUGAAUGGAUUAAGAUGUGGCACAUACAUACAAUGGAGUACUACUCAGCCAUAAAACUAACAAAGUAAUGCCAUUUGCAGCAAUAUGAAUGCAACCAGAGAUUCUCAUACAGAAAAAGAAAGACAAACACCAUAUUGUAUCACUUACACAUGGAAUCUAAAAUAUAGCACAAAUGAUCCUAUCUACAAAACAGAAACAGAUCACGGACAGAGAGAGCAGACUUGUGGUUGCCAGGGAGAGGGGGAAGCAAGUGGGAUGGACUGGGAGUUUUGGGUUGGUAGAUGCAAACUACUACAUUUAGAAUGAAUAAGCAAUGAGGUCCUACUGCACAGCACAGGGAACUAUAUCCAGUCCCUUGGGAAAGAACAUGAUAGAGGAUGGUAUGAGAAAAAGAAUGUGUGUGUGUGUGUGCGUGUGUGUGUGUGUGUGUGUGUAUAACUGGGUCACUAUGCUGUACAGCAGAAAUUGAUACAACACUAUAAAUCAAAUAUAUUUUAAUAAAAAACACCACUGGGGGAAAAAAAAAACUAAAUAUGAUCCAGUAAUCACACUCCUGGGCAUAUAUGCUUAGAAAACUGUAAUUUGAAAAGAUACAUAUAUCCCAAUGUUCCUGCAGCACUAUUUACAGUAAACAAGUCAUGGAAGCAUCUGAAAUAUCCAUCAACAGAGGAAUGGAUUAAGAAGAUGUGGUACAAUGAAAUAUUACUCAGCCAUAAAAAGAAUGAAAUGCUAACAUCUACAGCAACAUGGAUGGACCUAGAAAUUAUCACACUAAGUAAGCCAGAGAAAGACGAAUAUAUCACUUAUAUGUGAAAUCUAAUAAAAAUGAUAUAAAAGGACUUAUUAAUAACACUAAACAGAUUCACAGAUUUUUGAAAUCAAAGUUAUGGUUACCAAACAGGAAAGAAAGGGAGAGAUAAAUUAUGCAGGGAACUCUACCCAAUAUUCUAUAAUAACCUUCAGGAGAAAAGAAAUUGAAAAAGAAUGGAUAUGUCUAUAUGCAUAACAGAUUCACUAUGCUGUGCACCUAAAACUAACACAAUGUUAUAAGUCACCUAGUUCAAUGAAAUUAUUCAAAAAGAAAUAAAUUUUAUAAAUAUAAACAAAUUAAUUAACAAACAAGGAUCAAGGCCUUGAUAAUGGACAAGGCAGGUUGGUUCAGGAGCAAGGUUGAAGGAAAUUCAGUGUGAUGGCCGUAAGAAAAUAAUCCAACAAAAAGAAACGCUUAAUUUCAUGGAGUUCCUCCAGUCUUUGUAAUUAGUGCCUGAGGGUGAUUCUUCUAAGUAUAACGCACAAAAGCCUGGUUGUUUCUCACCCCCUAUGUGGGUCUAUCUUCAUCUUUAGAAGACUCUUCUCCAUCCUCUUCCUGCUGCGGCUGCUUUAUAUCCUGAAAGCCUUAAGGGCUGUUUGUGAGAAGGCUUAGUUCUGACUCAUAAGCCCUAAAAAGAUAUCUAAGGCUCCCUCCCCUCCUUCACUCUAGGCUGAAACAACAAGUCAGACAGAUACAGCCUUUGCUUUUAUAGAGCUCAUAUGCUAAAGCCAAGUGGGAAACAGAACAGAUAGCAAAAGCCAGACAAAUAAAUGCAAGAUAUUGUCAAGAGAUAGAAAGAACUGGAGUUCCCAUCAUGGCACAGCGGAAAUGAAUCCGACUAGGAACCAUGAGGUUGUGAGUUCGAUCCCUGGCCUCUUUCAGUGGGUUAAGGAUCCGGCAUUGCCGUGAGCUAUGGUGUAGGUUGCAGAUGCAGCUCGACUCUGGCAUUGCUGUGGCUGUGGUGUAGGCCAGAGGCUACAGCUCCAAUUAGACCCCUAGCUUGGGAACCUCCAUAUGCCACGGGAGCAGCCCUAGAAAAGGCAAAAAAGAUUAAAAAAAAAAAAAAAAAAGAGUUUGUUCUAGGACUGGCAAGAAAGAAAUCACUGUUGAAAGUGAAAGAAACCAGGGGGGGGUGGGACACAAAGUAAGCACCCAUUACCUGCCAGGCACUAAGCUGGGCACUUGAUUUUUCAUCAUCUCCUAAAUCAGCCUAACAAUUCGAGUUGUUACUUUUCCCACUUGGUGGAUGAAAAAAUAGGUUCAUAAAAGUAAUCUGCCCAAGGAAAAGAGAUUUAAAAAGUCACAUCUGGUACCCAGAGUCCAGGGAAAUUGUUGACUUAAUUUGGUAAAAAGCCAGCGAACAAGAUGACAGGCCUUCAGGUGUGUGGAAAGACCUGCGCCAGGAGGACAGGAGUGGAAGGCAGGCGCACACCUGAGGGCCACCGUACAGCAGCCGUGAUCAGGACUUGGUGGAGUGGCCUUGGCAAGGGUGGUGGGGAGGGGAGGUGAGAAGCCUAUAAGCCUCAGAGAGAGACCACCACAACUGCUGCUAAGGGUUCAAGAGAGGACCUCAAAGGAGGCCUGGGUUUUAGCCAACGACAAUGAACGUGCUUCUAGAUGUGUGGAGCUGGUGGGGGUGGCUGGGAGUAAGCCAGGAACAGCUGGGUAAAGAAAUCCUGACAGGUAAGUGGAAAUAACCACCCCAAAUUCCAAAGAAAGGCUGAGCCUAAAGAUGUGGCUCUGGAAUCACUCAGCCGUAUGGGAGUUGGGAGGCAUGUCUAUGGUUUUCUACGUGGGAGAGUAGUGUCUAUAUUGGCUACAGGAGCUGCCUGACAACUCGCCAACCUUCGGGAAACAUGCAGGAAUUUUCUCUGCCACCCACCAACAUGAUUCGCCCCAGAAACACACACACACACAGAAUUGAGUUAAAGUUAACGGCCCUACUACACAAACUCAAAGCAAAAUGACAUGUUAUUUAGAUUCAAAUGUGCUGAACAAAAAUGCUGCAAAUCAUGUGGGCUUUGCCUUUUUAAUAUUAUUCAAUUGAUGUCACUGAAACAGAGGAAUUAGUCUUGUAAUUACUCCCUUAUGAGUUCUGCUGUCUGUCUGAAAAAAAAAGAAGAGUACUCAUUUCUCUUCCCAAACCAAUUUGUUGGGGGGAAAUUAGAUGGGUUAAAGAUAGCAAAACCCCAGCUUCAACAAGCUCGGGGGCGAGGAAGAAAAGGUGGGUCAAUAAUGAAUAACGCCCUGCCACCCCAUCUGCGGGGUGUGCCUAUUGGAUGGAGUCGCCUGGCUGAGCCAGCAUGAGGACAGAGGACAAAGCCUGUCUCCCAGGCUUCAGCCCACUGCCUUGAGGCUUAGCCCUCCAGUACUUCAUUACCAUGCUAAUGCGUGCCCGUCACUUUGCGCAAGUACCACCUACUGUAUCUUUUAAAAGCCUCUAUCAACCACAGCUAGGAUGCAUGGGACAGAACUGCUGAAAAUGACCCAAAUGCUAACUCGCACCCUUAUAAGUAAGAACCAAGGAGUUCUCAUCGUGGCUUGGUGGCUGACAAAUCCAACUAAGGACGAUGAGGUUGUGGGUUCGAUCCCUGGCCUCGCUCAGUGAAUUAAGGAUCCGGCGUUGCCGUGAGCUGUGGUGUAGGUCACAGACACAGCUCAGAUCCC
rnacentral:lncRNA from 1 species